GGAAUCUUGGUCAAUGGGCGCAAGCCUGAACCAGCGACGCCGCGUGAGUGAUGAAGGCCUUCGGGUUGUAAAGCUCUGUGGGGCGAGACGAAAGCCUACGUUCUAACAGGACGUAGUUUGACGGUAUCGCCUUAGCAAGCCCCGGCUAACUCUGUGCCAGCAGCCGCGGUAAGACAGAGGGUGCAAACGUUGCUCGGAAUCACUGGGCGUAAAGGGCGUGUAGGCGGGAGGAUAAGUCAGGUGUGAAAUCCCCCAGGCUCAACCUGGGAACUGCACUUGAAACUGUCUUUCUUGAGUGUCGGAGAGGAAAGUGGAAUUCCUGGUGUAGAGGUGAAAUUCGUAGAUAUCAGGAGGAACACCGGUGGCGAAGGCGGCUUUCUGGACGACAACUGACGCUGAGACGCGAAAGCGUGGGGAGCAA
rnacentral:rRNA from 1 species